ACAAACAACUCCCCACACGUGCGAGCCCCUUCGCGUUCUCACGCACUUCCUCGUUGUUCGCUCCAAACACCUCUCUCUCUCUCUCUCUCUCUCUACACACCUUUUCUUCGUGCGACGCCAAAACCCUCGCCCUCUCCGACCACUCUCGGCCAUGGCCAAGCCCUCCGAUCCCGGCGAUCUCGCCGAGGAGAAGCCCUACGGCUCCGUACCCUCCGACGAGGACGACGACGAUGAUGAGGGGAGGAGCGGGGCGGCGGCGGGGGAGGAAGAGGGUGGCGAUGGCGACGACGAUCGGGAGCCGGAGUUGGUGGCGAGAAUGGCGAGCCCCGGCCAUGGCGAGGGCGGCGGAGAUGAUGGUGGAUCCUCCACCGAGGACGAUGAACCGAUGAACGAUGAUGACGGUGAUGGUGAUGAGGUUGAGGACCCAUCUUCAAAUGCGGAUGUGGGAAAGCGUGAACGAGCUAGGCUAAGAGAGUUGCAGAGGCAGAAGAAGCAAAAGAUUGACGAAAUACUGGCUGCCCAAAAUGCAGCAAUUGAUGAAGCCAUGAACAAUAAAGGGAAAGGUCCGCUUAAGUAUUUGCUGCAACAGACAGAGAUAUUUGCUCACUUUGCAAAGGGAUCCCAAUUUGCUUCAGAAAGGAAAUCUAGAGGGAGGGGUCGCCACGCACCUAAGGUUACCGAGGAGGAAGAAGACGAGGAAUGCCUUAGAGAGGAAGAAGGUGGUUUCUCUGGUGCAGCAGGGACACGCUUGGUUACACAGCCAUCUUGUAUUCAGGGGAAAAUGAGGGAUUACCAGCUAGCAGGGCUAAACUGGCUGAUACGUCUGUAUGAAAAUGGAAUCAAUGGGAUUCUAGCUGAUGAGAUGGGCCUUGGGAAAACAUUGCAAACCAUCUCCUUACUUGGCUAUUUGCACGAAUUUAGAGGAAUUACAGGCCCUCACUUAGUGGUUGCCCCUAAAUCUACUCUCGGCAACUGGAUGAAAGAGAUCCGUCGAUUUUGUCCUGUUUUGCGUGCAGUAAAGUUGCUGGGGAACCGAGAUGAAAGGAAACAUAUUUGUGAGAAUUUGUUAGUUGCUGGGAAGUUUGAUGUUUGUGUUACCAGUUUUGAGAUGGCCAUUAAAGAGAAAAAUGCCUUGAGACGUUUUAGUUGGCGAUAUGUGAUUAUUGAUGAAGCACAUCGGAUAAAAAAUGAGAACUCUCUUCUUUCGAAAACAAUGAGGCUCUACAAUACAAAUUAUCGCCUUCUUAUUACAGGAACACCUCUACAGAACAAUCUUCAUGAAUUAUGGUCUCUUCUUAAUUUUCUCCUCCCUGAGAUAUUUAGUUCAGCUGAAACCUUUGAUGAAUGGUUCAAAAUAUCAGGAGAAAAUGAUCAGCAGGAGGUCAUUCAACAGCUUCACAAGGUUCUUCGUCCAUUUCUGCUCCGUAGGCUUAAAUCUGAUGUUGAAAAGGGUUUGCCUCCAAAAAAGGAAACUAUACUCAAAGUUGGAAUGUCCCAGAUGCAAAAGAACUAUUAUCGGGCUUUGCUUCAGAAAGAUUUGGAAAUUAUAAAUGCAGGGGGUGAACGGAAGCGUCUUCUUAACAUUGCUAUGCAGCUGCGCAAAUGUUGUAAUCAUCCAUAUUUGUUCCAAGGUGCAGAACCUGGUCCACCUUACACAACUGGGGAGCAUCUAAUAACAAAUGCAGGAAAAAUGGUUCUUCUAGAUAAGUUACUUCGCAAGUUAAAAGAACGAGAUUCAAGAGUUCUAAUAUUUUCACAGAUGACAAGACUUCUGGAUAUCUUAGAAGAUUAUCUACUGUUCCGUGGAUAUCGAUAUUGCCGGAUUGAUGGGAAUACUGUUGGGGAAGAUCGUGAUGCUUCAAUCGAAGCCUUCAAUCGACCAGGAAGUGACAAGUUUGUUUUCUUGCUUUCUACGCGAGCAGGUGGCCUAGGGAUUAACCUUGCUACAGCAGAUGUUGUUAUUCUCUAUGACAGUGAUUGGAACCCGCAAGUUGAUUUACAAGCACAAGACCGCGCUCAUAGGAUUGGACAAAAAAAGGAAGUUCAAGUAUUUCGUUUCUGCGCAGAGUAUACUAUUGAGGAGAAAAUAAUUGAGAGGGCGUAUAAGAAACUUGCACUUGAUGCUUUGGUGAUUCAACAAGGUCGAUUAGCAGAGCAGAAAACUGUUAAUAAGGAUGAAUUACUGCAAAUGGUGAGAUUUGGUGCUGAAAUGGUCUUCAGUUCUAAGGACAGCACAAUCACAGACGAGGAUAUUGACCGAAUUAUCGCCAAGGGAGAGAAGGCAACAGCAGAGCUUGAUGCCAAAAUGAAGAAAUUUACUGAGGAUGCAAUCAAGUUUAAGAUGGAUGAUGGUGCACAGUUGUAUGACUUUGACGAUGAGAAGGAUGAGAAUAGAACUGACUUCAAGAAACUUGUCGCUGAUAAUUGGAUUGAACCACCAAAGAGGGAAAGGAAACGCAAUUACUCGGAUACUGAUUAUUUUAAGCAAGCAUUGCGCCAAGGUGCCGGUGCUCCUGCUAAAUCAAGAGAACCUAGGAUUCCUCGCAUGCCUCAGCUGCACGAUUUUCAAUUUUUUAACACCAAGAGAUUAAGCGAAUUAUAUGAGAAAGAAGUACGGUACCUUAUGCACGUGCAUCAAAAGAACCAAUCAAAAGACACAAUAGGUGAUGAUGAUGAUUCUGAAGACUUUGGAGAACCAUUGACUGCUAAGGAACAACAAGAAAAGGAACGCUUAUUAGAAGAGGGCUUCUCAUCAUGGACAAGGAGAGACUUUAAUACAUUCAUUCGAACAUGUGAGAAAUAUGGACGGAAUGAUAUAAAGAGUAUAGCUUCUGAAAUGGAGGGAAAAACACAAGAGGAGGUAGAAAGAUAUGCUAAAGUUUUUAAAGAAAGAUACAGAGAAUUGAAUGAUUAUGACCGAAUAAUUAAAAUUAUAGAGAGAGGAGAGGCAAAAAUUUCGCGAAAAGAUGAGAUAAUGAGAGCAAUUAGGAAGAAAAUGGAUCGAUACAAGAACCCAUGGUCAGAGUUGAAGAUACAAUAUGGGCAAAACAAAGGGAAGUUGUACAACGAGGAGUGUGACCGCUUUUUGCUAUGCAUGGUCCACAAACUUGGUUACGGAAACUGGGAUGAGCUCAAAGCAGCUUUUCGGUCCUCACCUUUAUUCCGCUUUGACUGGUUUGUGAAGUCUCGUACUACUCAGGAGCUUGCUAGACGUUGUGACACACUUAUUCGCCUCGUGGAGAAAGAAAAUCAAGAAUAUGAUGAGCGGGAAAAACACGCGAGGAAAAAGAAUUUGACACCAUCAAGACUUUCCAGUGCUAGAAUUCCAGCAAUGGAGAUCCCAACACUGGGUUCUUUUAAGAGAAUGAAGAAAUUGACCAUGGAUACUUACACAAGCUCGGGAAGGAGGAGGUGAGUAGGUGACUCUGUUGAAUCUUCACUGCUGACUUUGGAAGUUUGUCAGGUUGAUUGCAAAUAUGCUGCUGCUAUGGUUCGAUUGUUUGGGUGUUGAACUGCUGCUUUGCUCCAAGUAUGCUCAUAUUAUUGCUCGGCAUCAUAGCGAAGCAGAAGAUCCGCUUUCCAGCAAAGUUUGCGAACAAUCCUGACUGCCGUAUGUGGUAAUUCGCACCAUCUCUGAACUGCAGGGUCAUAGUUGGCAACUCUUGCUCAAUCCCCUGCAUCAUUUUAUAGCACAGUCGAAAUGGCAAACUGGAAUCAUUUACAGGACGAAGAUUGAGCCGGAGGCGGAAAUAAUCCUUCAUCACAUCUUCCACCCGAUCAAAUGCGUAAGUGGUUAGAUGCGUCACGGCGGCUCCUGAAUCUAUUACGAAACUACUAGUUCCAUUGCUCUGUCGUGUGAAGGUCCCUCUCGGGAAUCGCAUGCGCCGCCCGUUGAAACUGAUGUCCUUCACAUCAAGGUAAUAGGGUUCGCAGUCGGGGUAUGCUAAGAUCCUUGUACUUUGGAAGCCUCCUCGCGGCGUUCUGAUAUCAUGACCAAACCGUAGGAAGCUGGUGUGGGCGGUUUCGGGCGGGAAGAAGCAAUAGGAGAAAAGACCGUCUGUUCGCGUAGCAAGUUGCUUCACUGUCGAAGUAGGGUUUCGAGACAUACCGAAGAUCCCUGCAGGGUUUUCGUGAUAGUUCAUGUUGCUUGAGUGGGUGCAACCGAAGAAUAGAUUUCGAAUGGCUACACGAUGGCUGGCAUGUGCAUCUUGGAAGCUAAAGGUCUCUUUCGAGAGGACGCCGUCGAUGAAGGUAUUGUCGAAGUAUCGGAUGUUGUAUUCACAACGAUUGUUGACACAUUUAUAUCGUGGGGGCUUGCAUACAGGGUCAUCGCAGCCGACGACAUGGUAUGUGUCAGAUAAUCGGGGAUCGAACUUGGGUGCAGAUUGAGGGAAACCUGUGCGGCACGGAAGGCAUUGCGUCCACGUGAGGCUCGAGCCGGUGUCCAUAUGGAGGUAGUAGUUGCGCAAGCCAUUACCAGAACCAAUACUGACCGCGACCAUAAAUAUCGCAGGUGGCAUUGCACGAAGAGGGGGGCGUAUGACGGUAGGAUUGGCUCUGGCGAUCAUCAUCGACUCCAGCCAGAGAACACGAGACUUAGAAUAGUCGAUCGAGCGAACGAUACGUUGGAAAUCGGUGAGGUUCGCAUCGUAGAGCGGCGAGCGCUUGGAGUCGAUGUGGAUAAGCUCAAGGCUAAAACCUUUCUCUCCAGUGAUCAGUUGUGCAUAUGAAGAGUGGAGAAGAAGAGAGAAGUAGAUGAGUAGGUUCAAUGGGGACAUAGUGAGAUAGAAUACUAAGUUAUUAUUGUUAUAUGACAAGGUUUGAGGCUAUUGCAUGUGAAUAUAUAUAUACAAAUAAAGAGGAGUUCAAAGUUAGAAUUGGUUCAUCUGAUUGGACAUUUUGGAUUUGAUGUAGGAUACACUCCCUAAACUUUUGUUUGUUUCGAAUUAUAUUAUUUUAGUCAUA